GGGCGGGUGGCGGAAUUGGUAUACGCGCAACACUUAAAAUGUUGUGGUCAAAAGGCCAUGAGGGUUCAACUCCCUCCCCGCCCA
rnacentral:tRNA from 1 species